AUUGAACGCUGGCGGCAUGCCUUACACAUGCAAGUCGGACGGCAGCACGGGAGCAAUCCUGGUGGCGAGUGGCGAACGGGUGAGUAAUAUAUCGGAACGUGCCCAGUCGUGGGGGAUAACGUAGCGAAAGCUACGCUAAUACCGCAUACGAUCUAUGGAUGAAAGCGGGGGAUCGCAAGACCUCGCGCGAUUGGAGCGGCCGAAAUCAGAUUAGGUAGUUGGUGAGGUAAAGGCUCACCAAGGCGACGAUCUGUAGCUGGUCUGAGAGGACGACCAGCCACACUGGGACUGAGACACGGCCCAGACUCCUACGGGAGGCAGCAGUGGGGAAUUUUGGACAAUGGGCGCAAGCCUGAUCCAGCAAUGCCGCGUGCAGGAUGAAGGCCUUCGGGUUGUAAACUGCUUUUGUACGGAACGAAACGGCGAGCUCUAAUACAGUUUGCUAAUGACGGUACCGUAAGAAUAAGCACCGGCUAACUACGUGCCAGCAGCCGCCGCCG
rnacentral:rRNA from 1 species